GUAGGUGGCAAGCGUUGUCCGGAAUUAUUGGGCGUAAAGCGCGCGCAGGCGGUUCUUUAAGUCUGAUGUGAAAGCCCACGGGCUCAACCGUGGAGGGUCAUUGGAAACUGGAGAACUUGAAUACAGAAGAGGAAAGCGGAAUUCCACGUGUAGCGGUGAAAUGCGUAGAGAUGUGGAGGAACACCAGUGGCGAAGGCGGCUUUCUGGUCUGUAACUGACGCUGAGGCGCGAAAGCGUGGGGAGCAAACAGGAUUAGAUACCCUGGUAGUCCACGCCGUAAACGAUGAGUGCUAAGUGUUAGGGGGUUUCCGCCCCUUAGUGCUGCAGCUAACGCAUUAAGCACUCCGCCUGGGGAGUACGGCCGCAAGGCUG
rnacentral:rRNA from 1 species